UACAGAGGUCCCAAGCGUUGUUCGGAUUCACUGGGCGUAAAGGGUGCGUAGGUGGUCAGGUAAGUCUGAUGUGAAAUCUCUGGGCUCAACCCAGAAACUGCAUUGGAUACUAUCUGGCUAGAGGAGUGGAGGGGGGACUGGAAUACUUGGUGUAGCAGUGAAAUGCGUAGAUAUCAAGUGGAACACCAGUGACGAAGGCGAGUCCCUGGACACUUCCUGACACUGAGGCACGAAAGCUAGGGGAGCAAACAGG
rnacentral:rRNA from 1 species